GGAUAUUGCACAAUGGGCGCAAGCCUGAUGCAGCAACGCCGCGUGCCCGAUGAAGGCCUUCGGGUCGUAAAGGGCUUUUCUGGCUGAAGAGGAAGGACAGUACGCCAGGAAUAAGUGUCGGCUAACUACCUGCCAGCAGCCGCGGUAAAACGUAGGACGCAAGCGUUAUCCGGAGUUACUGGGCGUAAAGCGCGGGCAGGCGGUGGUCUAAGUCUGAUGUGAAAGCUCCCGGCUCAACCGGGCGAGGCCAGUGGAAACUAGAUCGCUGGAGGGCAGUAGAGGUAGGCGGAAUUCCGGGUGGAGUGGUGAAAUGCGUAGAGAUCCGGAGGAACACCAGAGGCGAAGGCGGCCUACUGGGCUGCACCUGACACUGAGCCGCGAAAGCCAGGGGAGCGAACGGG
rnacentral:rRNA from 1 species